ACAGAACGGAGCUUGUUUCAUUAGCAAGUAAAUUCCCAAAGUUAUUCUCCGACGUAACGCGAUCUACUAAUUAAUCUGCUGUUGGUAACUAAUCCACUCCCCUCAAAAUCGACUUCAUUUUUCUUCAAUUUAUCAAAAGCAAACCUGGCUUCAGCUAUCUGGAAACGCCUAUUCCCACCGCAAACCCGAAGACCCGCCCCAGUCAUCCCCGAUAUCAGGAUAAAUCGCCGCUUUAAUCCCGGAAUGGAUGUUAACGUAUUCAAAUUAUGCUCUGGUCUCAAGGUUCUCGGCUACUUGAUGAUCCUUCUCGUCGCCGGCAUUAUCACCGUCUCCUACUACGCCGU
rnacentral:misc_RNA from 1 species